UGUGAAGGAGGGAUGGAUAUAGUAAAAACACUCUCUGAAAACAAGUUUCAUUUUUAAUUUUUUUUGAAUUAUUUCUUUGAAAAAGAAAAAGAAAAAAAAAAACGCAAUAUGUCAUACUAUAAAUUUUAUUUUUCAUUUUUUUUUUGAAUAAAAUAAAAACAGAAACAGAAAUCUUCAACACUCUCCCAUCCGAGUUGAGUGGUACUUCUCUCUUGCAACGGUAGCCAAAGAACUUCCCCGACGACAAUCGUAGAAGCUGAAAGGGGUGGGUCAUCUUUUGAUGAAUUGUUUAAAAUUCCCGAGCAGGAUGAUCGGAUACAGUGAUGGGAAGUCCACAUCACGUGUUGUUUUGAUUCUGGAAAUGUACAAGGAAGCAGGGUUGUUUGAUCCAAUUGCAAACUCCAUUCAAGUUACAGAGUUUACGCAGAUGAAAGAUGCUUACACUCCCAAGUUCUUUGAAACAAUUCAAGCCGCCUGCCAAAGUGGUGCAAUGGUGCGGACAUCGUGAAGCUCCCUUACUACCAAAUUCGAGGGAAGUAUCGAAUGGAACUACCCGGAUACAAUACGAUGGAUCCAUACCCGCAUAUGAAUGAAAGAUGCCCAUCUCUUCCCCCAAAAUACUCUAGGCCUAAGGGUUGCUAAAAAGUCUUCUGAUUUGUUUAUCCUGUUUCGGAGUUUUUUAUACAACAGCUUUUUAUAAUACUAGGUGGUUGUAUGAUUUAUUUUUCUGUAUACAAUUUUUCUGAUGCAAAGAGUUGAAAGAUUCCAAAAGAUUAGUUGAUGGAAUUGCUAUUCUUUUUCAAAGAUCAAUAAAUUUUGGAAAGCAUCCUACAAAAA